UGGGGAGUCGCCUAACUGGUAUGGCACCGCUCUUUGACAGCGGAACAAUAUAGGUUCAAGCCCUAUCUCCCCAG
rnacentral:tRNA from 2 species